ACUUCUCCUACUCCUACUUCUAUUUGCUGUUUGGCCAAACUCACUACUAAUUAUUAUCCCAAGCAACUGGUCUUGCCCUUCUCCUCACGUUUCAAAUUCCAUACAUCCUCUAAUCAACAAACCUUCAUGAUUCGAGCUGCCGUUUCUAUCGAGAAGGAAACUCCAGAGACCCAGCGGCCCCAAACAUUUCUCCGGGAAUCUGAAGGUGGAGACAUCCGAGCGCGCUUCGAGAAGAUGAUAAGGGACGCACAGGAUAGUGUGUGCGAGGCCAUUGAGGCAGUCGAUAAAGCGGGUAAAUUCAAGGAGGACGUCUGGUCCAGACCAGGGGGUGGGG
rnacentral:lncRNA from 1 species